rnacentral:rRNA from 1 species
UGGAAUGAGAGUGGCAUCACUUUUCUUCUAAAGCUGGGGAUCGUAAGACCUGGCGCUUCAUGAUAAGCCCGCGGCCUAUCAGCUAGUUGGUGCGGUAACGGCGCACCAAGGCUAAGACGGGUAGCUGGUCUGAGAGGACGACCAGCCACACUGGAACUGAGACACGGUCCAGACACCUACGGGUGGCAGCAGUCGAGAAUUUUUCUCAAUGGGCGCAAGCCUGAAGGAGCGACGCCGCGCGGGGGAUGAAGGGUUUCGAUCCGUAAACCCCUGUCAUUUGUGAACAAUGGUUAUCCAUUAAUACUGGGUGACUUGAUAGUAAUGAAAGAGGAAGGGACGGCUAACUCUGUGCCAGCAGCCGCGGUAAUACAGAGGUCCCGAGCGUUGUUCGGAUUCACUGGGCGUAAAGGGUGCGUAGGUGGCAUGGUAAGUUUGAUGUGAAAGCUCAGGGCUCAACCCUGAAAUGGCAUUGAAUACUACUGUGCUGGAGGUUUGGAGGGGGGACUGGAAUUCUUGGUGUAGCAGUGAAAUGCGUAGAUAUCAAGAGGAACACCAGUGGCGAAGGCGAGUCCCUGGACAACACCUGACACUGAGGCACG